GUGCUUGCUUUGGCAGCACAUAUACUGAAUUUGGAAUGAGACAGAAAAGAGUAGCAUUGCCCCUGUGUAAAGACGAUACACAAAUUUGUGAAGCAUUCCAUAUUUUU
ensembl:snRNA U6 U6 spliceosomal RNA